UCCACGCAGUAAACGAUGAAUGUUAGUCGUCGGGAUGCAAGUCAUUUCGGUGAUGCAGUUAACACAUUAAACAUUCCGCCUGGGGAGUACGGUCGCAAGAUUAAAACUCAAAGGAAUAGACGGGGACCCGCACAAGUGGUGGAGCAUGUGGUUUAAUUCGAAGAUACGCGAAGAACCUUACCUAGCCUUGACAUUGAUAGAAUCCCGUAGAAAUACAGGAGUGCCC
rnacentral:rRNA from 1 species